GUACACUUUGCAUACAUUGCUAUUUCCAUCCUCUUCCCAUGGAAUCGACAUAACACUCCAGCUGAUCCUGCCUCCUUCCCAAAUGCUGCACGUGCUAACUGGUCUACAGGAGAAAAACUGUAUAAGGAUCAAAAGGGAAGAGUAGUGACUUUGCUGAGGAUCUGCGGAUGCCUCCCAUUCCAUCACACAGGUGUCCAUCUCUGAGCCUGGAGGGGAAGAACACAGUCUCUGCCUUCCACCCCCCACCUCGGCUCUCACCUCUCCAACCAGGAACUACAGAGCUGUUUAUGUCUGCCUUGCUGCCUGCUUCUCAUUAAGUGUCCAGCGAACUAAACCUUCCCCGGG